CCUACGGGAGGCUGCAGUGGGGAAUAUUGCACAAUGGGCGCAAGCCUGAUGCAGCCAUGCCGCGUGUGUGAAGAAGGCCUUCGGGUUGUAAAGCACUUUCAGCGGGGAGGAAGGCGGUGAGGUUAAUAACCUCAUCGAUUGACGUUACCCGCAGAAGAAGCACCGGCUAACUCCGUGCCAGCAGCCGCGGUAAUACGGAGGGUGCAAGCGUUAAUCGGAAUUACUGGGCGUAAAGCGCACGCAGGCGGUCUGUCAAGUCGGAUGUGAAAUCCCCGGGCUCAACCUGGGAACUGCAUUCGAAACUGGCAGGCUAGAGUCUUGUAGAGGGGGGUAGAAUUCCAGGUGUAGCGGUGAAAUGCGUAGAGAUCUGGAGGAAUACCGGUGGCGAAGGCGGCCCCCUGGACAAAGACUGACGCUCAGGUUCGAAAGCGUGGGGAGCAAACAGGAUUAGAUACCCGAGUAGUC
rnacentral:rRNA from 1 species